CUGACAGCAUGCAUAUUCAAGUCCUCUCUUUAUCCACAGAAAAAGUAGGCAGGCAGCAACAGUAUAAGAUUUUCCCCACAUACUGCCUCACAAAUGCAUUCCAAUCCUGUUCAGGAUAGACCACCUCUAGAGAAGAGAAAGUCAAUCCAGGACCACUGUCAUUGAGUCCUUUAG
rnacentral:sRNA from 1 species